rnacentral:ncRNA from 1 species
UGGUCUGGGUGAAAGCUCUUGGGACCACCAAAGGCGGGAACAGUUCCC